rnacentral:rRNA from 1 species
UCAAGCUACAAAGAGCGUAAGGGGAAUGCCUUGGCACCAGGAGCCGACGAAGGACGCAGCAAUCUGCGAAAAGCUAUGGGUAGGCGAAAGCAGCCAAUGAUCCAUAGAUAUCCGAAUGGGGAAACCCGGCUGACUGAAGGUCAGUCAACGUGCGUUGAAUAAAAUAGGCGUACGUGGGGAACCGCCUGAACUGAAACAUCUAAGUAGGGCGAGGAAAAGAAAUCAACCGAGAUUCCGUAAGUAGUGGCGAGCGAACGCGGAGGAGGCUAAACCGGGAGUAGUAAUAUUCCCGGGGUAUGGACUUAGAGAUGGUACGGAUGAUUCAUAGUCGAAGGGCAUGGGACGGCCCACCAUAGAGAGUGAGAGUCUCGUAGACGAAAUGAAGCAACGGCCUAUAAGAAUCCUAAGUACCGCCGGACACGUGAAACCCGGUGGGAAUACGGGGGGACCACCCUCCAAGCCUAAAUACUCCCUGGUGACCGAUAGCGAAUAGUACUGUGAAGGAAAGGUGAAAAGAACCCCGGGAGGGGAGUGAAAAGAACCUGAAACCUUAUGCUUACAAGCACAUAAAGCACGUCAACGUGUGAUAUGGUACCUUUUGUAGAAUGGUCCGGCGAGUGAAUGUAACCGGCAAGGUUAAGCUCUUAAGGAGUGAAGCCGAAGCGAAAGCAAGUCUGAAAUGGGCGUUGAGUCGGUUGUAUUCGACCCGAAACCGGGUGACCUAGCCAUGUCCAGGCUGAAGUGAAGGUAAAACUUCAUGGAGGGCCGAACCCACUCCCGUUGAAAUGGUAGGGGAUGAGGUGUGGCUAGCGGAGAAAUUCCAAUCGAACCCGGAGAUAGCUGGUUCUCUCCGAAAUAGCUUUAGGGCUAGCCUCGAUUUGACAUUACCGGAGGUAGAGCACUGAAUAGGCUAGGGGCCGAGAGGUUACUGAACCUUAUCAAACUCCGAAUGCCGGAUAAUGAUGAUCGGGAGUCAGACUGCGGGAGAUAAGUUUCGUAGUCAAAAGGGAAACAGCCCAGACCCACAGCUAAGGUCCCGAAGUACAGUUAAGUGGAAAAGGAUGUGGGGUUGCAUAGACAACCAGGAUGUUGGCUUAGAAGCAGCCACUCAUUAAAAGAGUGCGUAAUAGCUCACUAGUCGAGAGAUCCUGCGCCGAAGAUGUUCGGGGCUAAAACUUACCACCGAAGCUACGGGCUUGAAUUUAUUCAAGCGGUAGAGGAGCGUCGUAAUCGGGCUGAAGUCAUACCGUAAGGAGUGGUGGACUGAUUACGAGUGAGAAUGUUGGCAUUAGUAGCGAGAUGUAGGUGAGAAUCCUACAGGCCGAAUACCUAAGGUUUCCUCAGGAAGGCUCGUCCGCUGAGGGUUAGUCGGGACCUAAGCCGAGGCCGAAAGGCGUAGGUGAUGGACAACUGGUUGAUAUUCCAGUACCACUACCAUCGUUAUUAUCGAUGGCGUGACGCAGGAGGAUAGUGUGUGCUAGCUAUUGGAUGCUAGUCUAAGCAUUUAGUCAGUUACAAUAGGCAAAUCCGUUGUAAUAAUGAUGAGAUGUUAUGGGGAAGGUUCUACGGAACCGAAGUACAUGAUUCCACGCUGCCAAGAAAAGCGUCUAGAGAGAGAAGUAGUGCCCGUACCGCAAACCGACACAGGUAGGUGAGGAGAGAAUCCUAAGGCCGGCGGAAGAAUUGCAGUUAAGGAACUCGGCAAAUUGAUCCCGUAAGUUAGCAAUAAGGGAUGCCUAUGAGAGUAGGCCGCAGAGAAUAGGCUCAAGCAACUGUUUAGCAAAAACACAGGUCUCUGCUAAAGCGUAAGCUGAUGUAUAGGGGCUGACGCCUGCCCGGUGCUGGAAGGUUAAGGGGAACACUUAGCGUAAGCGAAGGUGUGAACUUAAGCCCCAGUAAACGGCGGCCGUAACUAUAACGGUCCUAAGGUAGCGAAAUUCCUUGUCA